rnacentral:rRNA from 1 species
CCUACGGGAUGCAGCAGUGGGGAAUAUUGCACAAUGGGGGAAACCCUGAUGCAGCGACGCCGCGUGAGUGAAGAAGUAUUUCGGUACGUAAAGCUCUAUCAGCAGGGAAGAAAAUGACGGUACCUGACUAAGAAGCCCCGGCUAACUACGUGCCAGCAGCCGCGGUAAUACGUAGGGGGCAAGCGUUAUCCGGAUUUACUGGGUGUAAAGGGAGCGUAGACGGCAGCGCAAGUCUGGAGUGAAAUCCCAUGGCUUAACCAUGGAACUGCUUUGGAAACUGUGCAGCUAGAGUGCAGGAGAGGUAAGCGGAAUUCCUAGUGUAGCGGUGAAAUGCGUAGAUAUUAGGAGGAACACCAGUGGCGAAGGCGGCUUACUGGACUGUAACUGACGUUGAGGCUCGAAAGCGUGGGGAGCAAACAGGAUUAGAUACCCCUGUAGUC